CCCUUAGAUGUUCUGGGCCGCACGCGCGCUACACUGAUGCAUUCAACGAGCCUAUCCUUGACCGACAGGUCCGGGUAAUCUUUGAAUCUGCAUCGUGACGGGGAUAGAUAAUUGCAAUUAUUAAUCUUCAACGAGGAAUGCCUAGUAGGCGCAAGUCAUCAGCUUGCGUCGAUUACGUCCCUGCCCUUUGUACACACCGCCCGUCGCUCCUACCGAUUGGGUGUGCUGGUGAAAUGUUCGGAUCGGCCGUUUGUCGCGGUUUCCGCGUCAUGUGGCUGAGAAGUUCAUUAAACCCUCCCACCUAGAGGAAGGAGAAGUCGUAACA
rnacentral:rRNA from 1 species